rnacentral:rRNA from 1 species
GACGAACGCUGGCGGCGUGCCUAAUACAUGCAAGUCGAGCGGACGAUUCGAAAGCUUGCUUUUGAAUCGUUAGCGGCGGACGGGUGAGUAACACGUGGGCAACCUGCCCUGUAGACGGGGAUAACACCGAGAAAUCGGUGCUAAUACCGGAUAACACGAAAUGUCGCAUGACGUUUCGUUGAAAGGCGGCGCAAGCUGCCGCUACAGGAUGGGCCCGCGGCGCAUUAGCUAGUUGGUGAGGUAACGGCUCACCAAGGCGACGAUGCGUAGCCGACCUGAGAGGGUGAUCGGCCACACUGGGACUGAGACACGGCCCAGACUCCUACGGGAGGCAGCAGUAGGGAAUCUUCCGCAAUGGACGAUAGUCUGACGGAGCAACGCCGCGUGAGCGAAGAAGGCCUUCGGGUCGUAAAGCUCUGUUGUUAGGGAAGAACAAGUAACGUAGUAACUGACGUUACUAUGACGGUACCUAACGAGAAAGCCACGGCUAACUACGUG